GAUGAAAACGUUGAAUUGGUACAUCAUUAGGACAUUAAAGACACUAUUUGUUGGAGACAGAGGGAGGGCAAGCCUGUGAAAUGCUUUGCUGCUACAUAAUUACUUGUGAAUAUAAACACAUCCACAUAAACAUAUUUGUGCAUAAACAUUUUGGGCUGCAUACCAUGUACAAGUAAGCUCUUCUGAGGCUCUGCGUGCCCGACGUGUGCAGGGAUCCGUCCCAGUUUAGACAAGAGAAUGUUACUUAACAUUGUGCAUGCAUGUGGGAAAGAAGAGAAGGGCUUUAUUUUGCGGUAGUCAAUUAGAGUGCUCAACUUUUGUUUUUUUUAAAAGAGUAAAGGCUCUUAAAGCAGCCUGCUCAACCAAUUAGCUGCAGUACGACUCGUACUCCUGAACCUGCAGCUGCUCUGCAGAGGGCUGAAGCAAAAGGUGCAGCACUACCUGCUGUACCCCACCAAGAGACAUUCCCGGGAUGGAAGGGAGUGACAAGCACAUCUUUCUUAGGGCAGGGUGAGACACAAAUCUGUACAACACAGUACUGCAUAGCAGCCACUUCAAGGGGCACCAGAAAGCUGUGUCACUGAAUACACAGUUAGUGUGUGCUGAGCCAGGGAGCCAACAACAGGGUGAGUCAAUGGCAUGCACAGCCCCUGGGACCACAUGGAGGCAGAGAAUAGACAGUGCUCCCAGGGGACAAAAACAGCACGAGUAAGGAUUCACCAAAAUUCAGUGUUAAGCGACAGCUGGGCCUUGGAUCUCCCCUCUCUUGCCCUCCUCACACACUACCAGACCCUGAGCCAUUUUUAACAAUUAUUGUUGCCUUCCCCUGGCGACCUCACACUAACUCUUUCCAUACUAUUUAAGGGCUGCAGGCCUGGAAAUGACCUCCUGAAUCACUGAUCCCAGUCCCGUCUAAUUGGAGGCAACCGCAUCAUAUGAUCCCAGUCAGAAAUGCCUCAAAGUGAGAGGGUGGGAGGACAUGUAAUGAUUUCAUCCUUCCAAAUUCCAGAGGCAACACCCAAGCAUUUGUGGCAGAGAUUGUCUCUUGCUCAGAUGUUGUGGGAAGACUACCAUCGCCUAUUAACAAAAGGAGUUUGUGCUAAAAGGUGUUUUUGGUUUGCUUGCAGCUUUCUCAGUGUGACAAUGGCAGUGCAAGUGAGAUGAGAUCUGAAUAGAGCAGCUCAUUUUCACACUGUGCAUGAAGCAACUGCAUGAUGCACUAAGCAGCAGCUUGCCAGGAGACACCAGGAGAGCCUGCUAGGCCUCAGAGAGCGCUAUUGAAACAGCAGCUGGUGCAAUGUAAUGAAGAUUGGCAAGGUCUGGUGUAUGGUAACAGGGCCUAAUUUAAGCAUGAAUGUGCUAGCACCUCUGCUUUUGAAAGGGAAAUGUCUCACAGCCUCUGAAUACAUAUAAUCUAUUUCCCUGAGCUGGGGUGGGGGGGCUUACUCCUCAUUCUCCAUUAUCUUCCAUCUCACACUUCACUGUAGCUCUAGCAUGUGGCAGAUUGCCCCUGAGUCUGCAGCAAUGGCAGAAGAGAGGAACUGGGCAUACAGGGUGCCGGUCUCUGAGUUUUUUUUUCUUUCUUGUCAUCUGAUCCACUUGGUGGAAGAGUUGCACUGUGGGAUCAACUUCCUUAUUCACUGGGCAGCACAUCCUGCAAAGCAUUUCCUACCAAAACAGGGAGCAGGGUGGAAGAAGCACAGUGUGCCUAGGAUGGGAAUAACUGGCAGCGGGAGAGAGACAGUUGAGUAGGUUUGCCUUGAUUUUGAGGAUUGGAUAGAGAAGCAGCCAAAACAAGAGGCAUAGAGCUGUUACACCAGCCUCUCUAUAAAGCUUUACAACUCCUGGAGGCCCGGGUCACCUGGAUGCUGCUUAAAAAGUGCUCUUGGACACAGGUGAUAUAUGAGGGAGUUUGAAUACCAACUAGAAGCACAAAGGAAAAGGGAUGGAAAGUAGUCUGGAAAGAAAAGAAUGGAUACUUGCAACAGCUCCUGACUACAGCGCAUGGGCUCUUGAGAGGGUUGGACUCACCCAGGCAUAAUGAGGCCCAGCAGCAUCUUCCACCAGGUGUGGCAGAAACAAGAAAGAGGUGCCUUGAAUUUCUGGCCUUCCACAGAAACAACCCCCUUGUGCUGCUAUCUCCAAAGAAAUUGCCAAAAUACAAUGGUAAACAGCUCCAUGUUAAAGAACAAAGGUCCAUUAAAUAUCAAAUAGUGUUUUAACUUGCUCCAGAAUGCAAGGAUGAAAUUCAGUUUCCUGUCACCGCUGAAUUGUGACAAGCUACUAGCAAAAGCAACUUCAGAGAAGCUGGCAUGGUUUCUGUAGCUGAUAUCCGAAAGCUAUGUAGAAUUAUCUGCAGCAGCAAAGUGAGGAUAGCAGGCAAGAUAGACUCUGUUGUCAGGAGUAGGCAAGAGGAAUCACAUAGCUGAGAUGUAUUGAGGCAGAUGAUCCAAAUAGCUCAGGGGGUUCAGUCUCAUCUUCACCAGAUGCAGAAUAUGAACUCAGUAAAGCUGCUUUGUGAGGAAGGAGACAGAUUAUUUGUAUGCAUAGUAUGGAUCUCUUCCACAUAGCAUUAAUAAGCUACUGUCACUGUAACUCAGGUACAGUUAUUUCACUUGUAUCUAAAUUUUAAAAUAUAGAAGCAACGCUCAUAUAAAUCCUACUAUUUAAGGUAGUGUAGAUUAGUGUAGGAUAGGAGCCCAGGUUUUGGAUUUGGGUUGAGAAGAAGUAGUGUGGACCCUUUCUGAAUAACUGGGCAGUCCUAAAGCUAAUGGCUUGAGAGGUCAGUCAUUCACAACAAGGGGAAAAUAACUGAUUGGUACAGAGAAGCUGUUCACAAUCGCAAGCAGUUAAAGCUGUCAUUCGUUGAGAGGAACUGCACUGCCAGGGGCUUGGGCACAUUUCAUACAUCAGAGUGUGCCCACGGGCAGCCAAUCUGCUCAGGGUUAUUCUUCUCUUUUUAUGGGAACUUGGCAUACCUGUGUGAGAUGAAGUCAGAAAGAAUCUUUUGAAUCACACAGAAAUAAGCAGAAGGCUUCAUCCAUUUCCUCUGGAGAUAUAUCUUCUUAUUUCUCCAUGUGGUUGUGCAAAAUUUCUUGGCAAAGCUCAGCUCUUAGGAAGGAUAUUAUAGAACAGAUUCUGCUGCAUCAGCACUGUGUGAAGAGAUAUUAAAAAUAGACAUAAAUAGGAAUGGCAGGUGUUGGUAGCAUCAGUCUGUAAGUCAAUUACAUGUGGUUUCCAUAAAGUUCAUUCUUUAAGAAAUCAAUGCUAAGAAAAUAUGAUGACUUCUGCACCUACUCUGGAUACAAAGAGAUCGCUGUGCAAGACCUGAGGAAGAGAUCUCCUCAGCUGAAAAUGGAGUAGCUGCUGGAGUUCCCAUUGCCUGUCCUGUGUCCUCAGCCCACUGAGGCUCAGAAGCGGUAGCAGAUAGCAAUCAAGGAGUCAGGAUUUCCGCUCCCACCUCUCUUUCUUACCCUUUCUGUGACUGUAUUGUCUCCCAAAGCUGAUCACAAAGGAUAUGGUGUGGCCAAAGGCUUAGAUGGGGGUGAUAAGGAGGAGUUAAGCAGAAGCAUUUUCACAUCAAAAAUAAUUUGGUAUGUGCCCAGACGGUGUGGUAGUGGCUAGCAGUGGAACAGCAAAACUGCUUAAUGCUUGUGGCAGGUCAGAGCUAAAAGCCCAAGAAAGUGCUGUGGUGAACAGCUAGUUUUUCCCAGUGCCUUAUGUUGCUAUGUAGACAAAUGGAAGCUACCUAUGCGGGUCCACGGAUGAGUGCUUGUUGCAGACCGUCAGACCUAGAUGUCUCUUAGCUUUCAGGUUCACAAGCACAUUUCUCUAACAAAAGCAGUAGGUUUAGGACACUCCUUUUGUCCUACAGGCUCUCCUUCCUCCCCAUGUCUCCCCAGAUUAAGUGAUGCUAGCACUGGGGCAUGAUAAGCUCUCACUUGCCAGAAGUGCAUUCUGACACUGCUCCUGAGCCAUUUCACCACGUGUGUCCACCAGAGGUAACACAGUCUCACAUCAUCCCAUCCUACAGCAGGCAGAGGGGGAGCAGCUCCCACUGAGUCCUACAGCAGACCUGCUUCUGUCUGCAAGAAAGGAUUUAGCCUGGAGGAUCUGAAGAUUUUAAUUUCCUUUCUUCUCUCUCUGACUUUGCCAGUUUCCUUCCUCUGAGGUCUCCUAUACACAUAGCAGAGGAGAGAAAAGCAGAGAGAAGGAGGGUCUCAAAAUAGCCUGACUGCCUGCUAAACUCUGGUUGGUUGGUGGCACUUCCCAGGUCUGUAGUGAGGAAAGGUGACAGUCAAGGUAAAGGUGGAUUAUGGGAGUCCAGCCACCAGGAUAUUAUACAUUUUUAACAGAGAAUUUGUCAUUUCUAUAAGGAAAGUAUUCAGUUUACAAGAAAAUACUGGCAACCCAGACACAUCUUCACUGUCAAAAAUGGAGCUAUUACAGAUGUGGGAAAAGGUUCCCCCAUCCAAAGCUGAGACUGCCAAAGGUUGCCCACUCUGAGAGUCCCGGUAGAGAUGCUGGAAGAUGCCCACAGUCUGCCAGUUUCUUAAGGAGUGGUUCUAUUUAUUACAGUAUUUGAAAUGUGAGAUCCUGAGAUAAUGGCUCAGGGAUUGCUCAAGACCAUGAGAUGCAUCAUCACUGAGCAGACCACUUCUUUCCCCUUUUUCUGCUUUCUCCCUGGUAAGACAACAUCUUCUGGAAGGGGGCUUUUGCACACACUGCCAAAAUUCAAUUUGUGAGUUUGUUCUUCUGAAGCAACAUUGAAUGAUGUAACCCAAAUUGCCAGUCAGCUGGGCAACACCAGUCAGUAUUCUGGAGCCUGAAAUGGAAUAAAGUUCAUGUACCUGCAUUCCUUCUAGUUGUAGCUCACUUAAGCAUUUGAAAUAUCCACUGAGUGAAUACUCUAGGGUUUGGAGGUCAGCAAUGCUAAAACAUAAGUGUUCAGAGACUUGUUUGCAGAGCAAGGUCUUUGACUGGAGGAAGUGGGAUACAAGCCAGCACUUCUUCCUGGGGCACGAAAGAGAGAGGAUAACUCAAGAGCUUGAACAAUCUGCCUUCUGUUACAAUACACACCCUGUUUUAACUAAUUCAGUGGCCAGGUCACAGCAGCAUGCUCUAGCAUGUGAGCUCCCAAGCACUGAACAUCUACAGUUUAUAGCAGCAUAGAUGAGGUCUUCAGCUGCUGCACUGUGCACCUCACAGCAGCAACAGUGAUACUGUUAUAACACAGAAAUCAUCAGUGAGAGGAAACUAAUCUUGAACAGGCUAAUAGGUACAGUUAAGUCUUUUGGACAUUUUUGCAUUCUGAGCCUGAGCAUAAGAAAAAGGUGCUUCUUCAGCUUAAUGCUUUACAUGUAAACAAAUGCUGACUUAGUAGUAGUGUGUGAAUGUGUCCACUGAACAUACAGAUUUGACCUGGAUGGUGCAUUCCCCCAGAAGUUUCCUUGGAUAGCACAUCUGUGAGGGCAGGGCCAUGUUACUGGCUGGCCAGGAGGAGUGAAAACAACGGAGCUUGACCUGCAACAUGGAGUUAGUUGUUGGCCUUAGUAAGCUCCGACCCCGCUCUGUGAGUUAGUUUUGGACUCACAAGAGGUUUGAUAAAAGAAGUGGAGGUUAAAUGAAAACACGAUUCAAAAGCAAAUGAAAAUAUGCACAGUAUCUCUUCCUGCAAACAUUGCCUGGCUUUUAUCCUUGCCCUGUAACUCGUAGAGCUAGCCUAAAUGCUGACUCCCACUUCCUUGAAAUGGUUAAAAUCUGACUGUGCUCAGGAGAGCAGAGGGUGGUUCCAAACAUAAAUAAAGAUGUGAGGCUAAACAUCGGGCAAGCCAAACUGAUGUUUCAACAUUCAGUAGGGUCUUACACCAAGCUGUACGCCCAGUUGGACUCUGCAGGAUAUUUAUAAAAGUUUGCCUCAGUAAGUCCAUCUAACUCUGCUCUCAUUUUCCAGUGUACGAUAUUGGAUGUUAAUUCUGCUGUUGCUAUAUGUAUGGGAACUGUUGAGUCAUGGCCUGAACCACUGAUUGAGCACCUGGGAAAAGUCAGCCCUGGGAGCACAGGUGAAGUCAAUUCAGCUGUGCGACUGGAAGGCUGCACAGCCUGGCUGCACCUCUCUUAGACCUCAUUUAGGGGCUGACUGCCACUGAAGAGACUUUUUUUCUGGAGAUCCCUGCUUGGUGAAGCUUUCUCCUGUGAACCUGGAACCUUCAGAUACAGGGUAAACACAAAGACAACAACAACUGGGUAAUGUACAGAAUGCAACUCCCACCCCUGCAUCAAGCCAUCCUCAAAGUAUUUAUUUUCUUACCCCAUCUCUAUAUUAGAAAAAAAAAAAACCAACGUGUAUUUUUUGUUGUUUCUUUUUUGUUGUCCACAACUCUUAGUAACAGCUGAAUAGAUUCAAAUAUCCCCUACCACCCUUCUGACAUCCACCCACUGACACACCUGCCAUGCUUCCUACCAAAUUUGUGAGAUUAGGUUGAAGAGUCUGGGCUCUCUCAAACAUGACUGAAGCAGGCUGUCAGGAGAUGGGCCAAUUGAUGGAUGGGCUUUGCAUUAGCCCUUGUUCCUCUGAGCUCUUGCACCAUUAAGUGAGAUUAAAGAGUUCAAGGAUUGGAAUUGUGAUACCUCCCUAACUGUUUAGUUCAAAUGAAUCCAACACUUGUAAUAGUGUAUUAAAUGUAUUUUUAAAUAUUUUAAAGCAGCAGUUUUACAACAAUAGAUUGUGUAGCUGAAUACAAUGCAGCAUCUUACUUACUACUUUCUGUUCUCGGUCCUGCUGCACAAAAUCAGCAUUUUACACCAUGUUAUGAUAACAAAGAAUUUCCAAACAGCCAUUACACUGUAUGAAUACAUGGGAAACUGCUCAUCAGUAAUUCAUAACAGAGGGAAUUUUGCAAUUCUGGAAGAAAGACUAGUAAGUAUAGUCAAAGUGUUCCUCUUUCAUUUUCUCUUUCACUGUUUCCAUACUAGCCCGGAGUGUAACCAGAUAGCUUUCUAAGACCUCUGUUAGCAAGCAGAGUUUGGUGUGCAGGCACCAAUCUUAAUAUAUGGGAGCUUAGAGGUUUUGAGUGCAGAACAAAUAGCUUUUAAAAGCAAUACCAAUUGCUAAGAGGAUCGUAUUACAAUAAUAGAUUUGAAAGCUUAUACUCCAAACAGCACUGUGGAUGAGAGCCGACAACACAGAUGAAGAAUUUUGUGAGCUGCUAGGAGCAGAGCAGGACUUGCUUAUUGCACAAAUGAAUGUGGGUUGUGGGACAGCUGACACCUCACUGAAAUCAGGCCUCUCAAUCACCCAGGAUUACCAUGGGACUCAGGAGGGAUGCAGAAGCAGCUCCACAAGGCUGGAUGAGGGAAGCAGCAAAUGACAGAAAAAAAUGAAGGGAUCCACAAGUAAAGGGAACUAACAUGUGCUACCUUGACAGAAGACACUGAAAGCUAUUCAAAUGAGAAGAGAUGGAUGGAUAACUCUGAUGAUCUCAGCCUCGGUCUGGAGAGGAGUCUGGAAGGAGCUGGGAGCUGCUUAGUUGCUGCUUGACAGACCAUGUUUCAUCCAUGUUGAGAGGAAGCCUCAGAAGCAGAGCUCUCGGUAUUUUUCAGACUGCUUGUGCGUUUGGGGAUUCCUAAACGCUUUUCUUUACUGUUUCAUAACAUUUGCAUUCUGGUUUGUGUGUGGUAUAUGCAUUGGAAGUAACUUGAAAUGCUGGAGGUUUCUUUGCCUGCGUGCCUAAAUACAGUAACACCUUGCUUGGCAGACUGAAGAAAAGAUUAAGAGUGUUUUGGCUAUAAUUCUUGACCAUGGUCAAAUCAAGACCUUGGUUUCCUCAAUCACCAACUCCUCAUUGGGAGCAUACUUAAGCAGCAAUGGUUUAUGUCUCUAAAAUAGAAGAGCUAUUAUCAACUAAAGUUAAAAAUAUAUUCAGUAAAUCAGGUUCUGGUUUGGGGAUGUUAUGGACGUCACGUAAAAGGAAGUACUCACAAAAUAGCAUAGUGAUGAAAUUCUAUUUGUAAGUCCACUAGUUUCCAAACAGCUGUUAAUGGCAACUUCUUUCUGGACAUCAGCAGGGUAGGGAUGGAGAAUAAUGUGAGGUGCAAGGGAGCGUAUGGCCCAAAAGAGGCAUAUAAAUCCUGCCCACACACACACUGUGUGAGCAGUUGGAGCUGGCUCACAGACAGCACAAGAUGAGUAUGUUCUGCAGCAGAUGCCACUCUGUGCUGUAUCCCAUGGCUUUAGUAUUUUACAAACAUCCUGCUGCCUCUCAAAUGUCUGUGAGGGUGGUUUUGGAAAUGUAAGCCAAAGAUAAGCAAUGCAAAGGUGUCUGCUUGAGUCCACAGGCAGGCAGAGCAAGAUCUUCAAAGGUCUGAAUGUUUGCCAUUCAUCUUAAUGGCAUGUUAUUACUAAAGUCAUGCAGCAAUACACGGUUUAGGGUUGUUAACUAUUUCACUGCAGGGUAAAACUUGCAAGGAAAUGUUAAAUUCAUGAAUAGCAUGUAGGUAUACUUUAGUUAUUCUCAAUGCCAUCUUGUUUUGGCCUUAUAGUGCAGAAACAUUUUUAUUUGAGCUUCGUAUUCGCAUUAUAAAGAACUGUCUAGAAAUUAUUUCCAGAUGCAAUUAGCUGGUAUCCUGACUAUGAUGCUGCUUACCUGACAAUCUACCUUUACAUCACAAUUUGACACUUCUGUGACCAUGAAUUUAUAAGAUUCAAGCUUCUGAGGAAAGCAAGUGGGGCAAAUCUUACAUAAUAGCAAAGAUCAGCAAGAGCUACACAACUAAAUGAAGAAAAAAGGUUGAUGUGUUGUGUCUUGGUAAUUCUGCAAGUUUUGAGACAGAUGCUGUCAUCUAUUUAACUGAAAGAAGCAAAUGUCCCUUCACCAACAGAAUGUAAAUUGGAGGGGGACCCCAAGUCAAGUAGAAAUUUACAGUAGAUCUACCAAAUUGUUUUUCCUAAGUUGGGCACUGCCAGGGCUGCAAAAGAGCUUUUAAAGUCAAAUUCAUUUUAUUAUUACAGAAUCUGAAUCCUGUAGCUUUUUUAACAGAUAAAAUUUUACAGGAGACAAAGCAGAAGAAAAAGCAUUUGGAAAUGGAAUUCCUUCUCGCCCACUGUGUCCUGGCAGAAAGGGUCCUUUUUUCGGGCUUCCUGUCAGUUUAGCAGCUCGGGAUCUUUCUGUAUUGCACCAAAGCCUCCUCUGAGAAAGAUCCCUGAGACUCUAGGAAAUAUCUUUUGUCUCAUCACUGAGGCCUGGCUGUAUGUCUGUUCUUCUCAGCAGUUUGCCUGUCUCUGCCUGUGAUGCAGGCUCUGUGCCUGCUGAGUUCUCCUCAUAUCCUCACAGGAGUACUCCCACAUAUUACUCAGCAAUUAAUUAUUUUCAUUUUAUUGCUUUUUAACUGAAUUAAUAGGCUAUACAUUAUCUAAAAAAAAUCAUGCGGAAAAUGAGAGAGGCUGAUUAGAAAGGAACUAUCUGGAGGGUGAGAGGAGAGGAAGCUGAAGGCUAUGAACUGUCAGAUGAAGUGAAUUUUAAAACUAGCUUGGCACUGAUUGUCUGUGGUGAAAGAAUAUCACGAAGAGCAGUCUCUGGCCAAGUUUUCAGGGCUGGUUUCUUUGUUCUUUUUUGCUUUAGUGCUUAAUCCCAUAAAAAUGUACAUGGCAUUACUGAAAGAAAUGGCCCAUAGAGAAGAUUGGUAUGGCUGUCAGAAACAGACAAAAUAAUGAAGAUCUUCGGAAAGAUCGGGUAGGAAGAGCUAUGAGAAGUACAGAAAUAUCAAGCACUGGCAGAAAGAGAAACAUGAAUGAAAAGAGAGAAACUUUGCACAUGAUAAGAUGUUUCUUUGUAGUAAUAUUGAUAAUUCAAUAAUAUAUUUCAACCUCUGACAGAGUCUUCAAGAAAUGUAAGUCACACACAGAAAGGAAAUUAUCAGCUAAAUAUGCUUUAAUAUGAGAAUUUAACUCUUCUCACAGGCACCUUUUCUUUUUAAUAAAUAAAAUACAGAUUUACUCUAAACAUAAUAGUUUUGAACGCGUAUAUCUAAAGCCUCAUUUGUUUGCUGGACAUAUUCCUUCCUAUGGCAGAAUGUUCAAAAGGUAUUUUCACAUUUAACUUUGACAUUAUUCUAAUUAAAAAAAAUAUAUAUAUUACUCUUAGUGAGAUAAAAUUACACAAAUAGCUUUCAUUUCUUUUGCUUUUGACAGGACUGCCUGCCUAGCAAAUUGAGUGGAUAUUGUGGUCAGUACACCUUGAGCUCCAGGAAGCUGUGCAAAGCAGAGCCCCAGCUAGCCCCUACAGCAGACUUGAGGCUGUGCAGCUGCCAGCGUAGAUGCUACACCAACAGGGCUCUUGUCACGGCAGGGAAACCAGACUGCUGGCAGUGUGUGACAGGGGGAUGCUUUGGGCACAAAGGUGGAACAUGGUGUCCUGCCUGCUGGGUUGGAGUCCCAGGCAGACAAGUGUCACGCUGCAGGUAUGCACAUAGGGCACUGUGAGAGCUGCUCCUUAAUGAAUUGGUAGCAUGCCAGCCUUUGAUUGGCAUGAGGCAACCACAUGGGUUUUAAUCUCUUCCUCUGCACACAUAGUGACUAUUAAUGAGAGGAUUACUGUGAAGUGGCCUGAAACUAAAUGGCAUGUGUAGAAUCUCAUGGCUAUGUAAGUCACAGGCAGACUUGGAUAGCACAAGAAAGGGGCAUCCUUCUUCACAUUUUCCAGAAAGAAAUGUGAAGAUCAAAUAGUAUCAAACUCUUGCACGGAGGUACCCAAACUCGUAACGAACAUCAGAUCUAAAAUUCCAGUUGCCACUGCCAGUAUGUGUAAUACCGCACAUGGGUGUCACCUUGUUCCUAUAGCACCGAAAGUCUAGCGAUGGGAGAGGUGAUCCCAUCAGCUGAGGCAGCUGACAAGCCAGUACCUUCUGCAGAUCUGAUUGUAAAAGAUGUUGUAAACAAGCACGUGCCUGGGUUUACCCUGUAGGACAAUAUAAUAUCCAGCUAUGGAACUGCAGGGUCACUGCUUGCCAAAAUAAGACUGAAUAAGCUGAUGUUUUGCAGGUACUCCAGGCUCACCCUCAUUUCUCAAGCACAUUCUGCAGCAGUUCGUAGUUAAGGUUACACAGACACACUCAGCAAAACAGGAUCCCUUCCACUGGGAUGAGGGGAGUAGAGAGAUGGCUGCUAGCUGCCAGCCUAGAGUGGAAAGUGAGUCAUGGUCAUGAAAUAGGUCAUUUCCACUCCGUGUGAACGCUCUCGCAUAGUAUUCAGGUUGGUUUCUGUAACAAGGAACAGCCUGGGCUCAGGUUUGCUUCUGGGCUUGCUGCUUCUGCUGCAGAUAAGCAGGAAAAAAUAAGCUGUACAAAAAUGAGUGUUUUCAGCUGAUGAAUGUAUGAUUGUGGAUUCUGGCAAAAUUAUUCUAACUUCCACUGAUUGAACAUGUGGUUUAGUUUUGCUUCAUGUAUCUAUGUAGCUUCUUUAAAAAAGGAAGGAAAAAAAUCUCAGUAGCAGCUGCAUUGGCUUCUGCUAAUAUUUGCUUCCCUAACAGAAAACCUAAGCAGUCCAGCAAAAGAUGAAAUCCUUUCUUUAUUUUUAUUUCAAAUCAUAUCUUUGAAAUGCGAGUUUCUGCUGGCAGAUAGAAUACGAGCUUAUCUAUGGCAAGUGGGAGACUCUGCUGUGAGCCUUUCUUUGGGAAAGCCUCUUUGACCCCAAACAGGAUAUUCUACAACAUUUGAAGAUUGAGAGAUGAUAGCAGUAUUUUUUCCAGGACAUUUCUCAGAGAAGAGGGAGGGGUGUCAUUAUUGUUGUCAUUUCACCAUAGCAGAUAGAAUGCUGUCUGGAGAUGCCGCCCUUGCUGGAUAAUUGAUUAAGGUUUGGAUUUGAGAGGUGGGCAUUUCCUCUAUUUUUAGUUACCAUAUUAGAUUUUCACAUAGGGAAAAAAAAAGAAAAAAGAAAAAACAACCUUGUUUCUCUUGUUCCUGUUACCUCCCCAUGUCACGACAACUCGCUGCUGCCCCUUUUUUUCCUCUCCUUCUAGGAACAGUUGCUUUAGGAGUGAUUCUGGUAACCUGAUACCACUUGAUGUAUUUUUGCUGGAAUAUGGAGCCUACAUAAAUUGCACCAUAAGCAAAUUUCUUUAUAAUGGAAGGAUCGGGAAGCUGCAGCUUGGCAGGCCGUUUCAUUGGUGUGUUUUUUUUUUUUUAAGGUGGAUUUUCCAGACACUUCUUAACAGAUGGUAUUUGCUAAAAAGAAGAAUUUUGCUAAAAGGUAUUGGGAAUAUGUGGUUGCCACUGUUUGUACAGAGCAUCCCACCUGUAGGCAAAGUGCCCUAAGUUAAGAACAGAUGCUGCCUGCCUGCCAAAUACCACUCCAUAACCUGAAAGGAAAAUCUGUUGUUUGCACUUUCCUAUUUGUCUGACUAAUUAUUGCUGGUUUCACAGGAGCCCAGAGCCUCUUAGUGAAAACAAAUCCCAUCUUCACAGUCUCAAAUGCAGACUUCUUUAGAUUCAACAUGGAGAGACUUUGGUGGCUGCAACGUGAUGUGAUGCAGGUGGGGCCCUUGCAGUGAUAAUCCCUAAAAGGAGCUGGAACAGAGCUUUGGGUGAGAUCAAAGAUCUUAUUGAUCAUGGCUAGAAAGAGAUCAGCCAAACCAGCAUGAGUGCAGCCCAGGACUGCCCUGCAGUUUGACCCCUCCCUAGCAAGCUGAGCCUGCACUCCAAAUCUUUUUCUUUUAAAUUGUUUACAUUGGAAGUGGUGUUUAUUCAAGGAGCCAAAAGAGACUGAAAGUCUUUGGGCAUAUAUAGCAAGUGCUACAGUGAGAGAAGCUUCUUCAGGCUGCCUCUCUAGCAUACAUUUGGAGCUUGCAGGGCUUCUCCUCUAACAGAAGAGAAGUGCCUCAGGGCUCCCUUAUUCCUCCUGAGGACACUGACCACUGCUGUCAGACAGGGCCUGUACCACCAGUGCCACAGCCUCUAACCAAACUCACCACAGCAGCUCUGCCCACCGGUCUCCACUGCCAUGGGCUGUGCUUCAGCCAGUGAGAGCCUUUCUGUCCUCAUGCUGGAAGUUGCGUUUCUUAUCUGGCAUGGGCUGAGGUGUUGGGGAGUAUUCUGAACUAUGCAGACCAUGCAAGCUCUGUCACCAGUCACCCAAAAGGGAGAGCUCUAUUACAACCCAUUAAUGCUCCCAGACCACUCAGGCUCAGUUGUGUUGUCACUACAGCACUUAUCUGUUCCCAGAGCGUGCGUGGGGCUGCACCAUUCGCCAGCUUUGCUCACACAGCAGCACGGGGAUGCAUGUUGUGCAUGGUGAAGCUAUUCCUCAGGCUCUGCGGCACAGGAAUUUCUCCUGAUAAGGUAAACCCCUGUGAUCUGCCCAGAAAUGAACCCUAUUCUGCAGGAGGAAGGGGAGAAAGUUUUCCAUUUCAUUUCUUUCACUGAAAAGAAUGCUGCUGGCUGAGCAGGUUGGAGCAAGCAGG